rnacentral:rRNA from 1 species
UAGGGAAUCUUCCACAAUGGACGCAAGUCUGAUGGAGCAACGCCGCGUGAGUGAAGAAGGUUUUCGGACCGUAAAGCUCUGUUGUUGGUGAAGAAGGAUAGAGGUAGUAACUGGCCUUUAUUUGACGGUAAUCAACCAGAAAGUCACGGCUAACUACGUGCCAGCAGCCGCGGUAAAUCGUAGGUGGCAAGCGUUGUCCGGAUUAUUGGGCGUAAAGCGAGCGCAGGCGGAAGAAUAAGUCUGAUGUGAAAGCCCUCGGCUUAACCGAGGAAUUGCAUCGGAAACUGUUUUCUGAGUGCAGAAGAGGAGAGUAGAACUCCAUGUGUAGCGGUGGAAUGCGUAGAUAUAUGGAAGAAUACCAGUGGCGAAGGCGGCUCUCUGGUCUGCAACUGACGCUGAGGCUCGAAAGCAUGGGUAGCGAACAGGAUUAGAUACCCUUGGUAGUCCAUGCCGUAAACGAUGAGUGCUAAGUGUUGGGAGGCUUCCGCCUCUCAGUGCUGCAGCUAACGCAUUAAGCACUCCGCCUGGGGGAGUACGACCGCAAGGUUGAAAC